ACAGGAGGAGAAGAAGGAGAAAAGGCCAGACAUAAGUUGGAUUGAAGGGGACUAGAAACAAAAGAAUAUGAGAGAUCACAAUCAAGAGAGAGAAAAAAAAGCUGGGGUAAUAAUGGCUCCUGGGUACUUCACCAUGCCUUAUUGAUGUCCCCGGCCUUGCCAGCACACUGGGGAGUAUUUGAGAGAUAAAGUUCUGAAGGC